rnacentral:rRNA from 1 species
GGGGAACGGAUUGCAGGCGGGCUGGACCUCUCGGGGUUACAGCCUUGCUGAAUUAUUCACCCUUGUCUUUUGCGUACUUCUUGUUUCCUUGGUGGGUUCGCCCACCACUAGGACAAACAUAAACCUUUUGUAAUUGCAAUCAGCGUCAGUAACAAAUUAAUAAUUACAACUUUCAACAACGGAUCUCUUGGUUCUGGCAUCGAUGAAGAACGCAGCGAAAUGCGAUAAGUAGUGUGAAUUGCAGAAUUCAGUGAAUCAUCGAAUCUUUGAACGCACAUUGCGCCCUUUGGUAUUCCAAAGGGCAUGCCUGUUCGAGCGUCAUUUGUACCCUCAAGCUUUGCUUGGUGUUGGGCGUCUUGUCUCUAGCUUUGCUGGAGACUCGCCUUAAAGUAAUUGGCAGCCGGCCUACUGGUUUCGGAGCGCAGCACAAGUCGCACUCUCUAUCAGCAAAGGUCUAGCAUCCACUAAGCCUUUUUUUCAACUUUUGACCUCGGAUCAGGUAGGGAUACCCGCUGAACUUAAG